rfam:Schistosoma margrebowiei strain Zambia genome assembly, scaffold: SMRZ_scaffold0000379
GCGUUGCUGACGCGUUCCAAAAUAGGACGAAACGGUCGUCCAGUGC